rnacentral:tRNA from 1 species
UAGUAAGAAGCAAAAAAAUUUGCCUUUAGUUUCGACCUAAAAUUUUGACCACUUUCGUCCUUACUUU